rnacentral:rRNA from 1 species
GAUCAUGGCUCAGGAUGAACGCUGGCGGCGUGCCUAACACAUGCAAGUCGUAGCGAGAAAUCAUAAAAUGAAACUUCGGUAGAUUUUAAGAUGGAAAGCGGCGGACGGGUGAGUAACGCGUAGGCAACCUGCCUUAUGCAGAGGGAUAGCCAUUGGAAACGAUGAUUAAAACCUCAUUAACGCCGGAGAGUCACAUGGUUUUUCCGGCCAAAGAUUUAUCGGUCAUAAGAUGGG